UUAAAAAUUAGAGUUUCUUAUUAAUCUUAAAUUGAGUAAAGAAUGGUUUAGAAAAAAUAAAAGAAAUUUGUUUUUAGUAUUAUAUUGUGGCUAAUGAAGGAGUUAAAAAGUCCUAUUGUUAUGAGGAUUGCAAAAGUUUUAAAUAUCAGAAACUGAAGAAGGCAUUGAUAAUUAGCAGAUAUCAAAAAAGCGCAAAAGUACUGAUUAAACAACUCUUUUAAAGAAAAGAUAUUGUAUGACUUCGGUAUCCGCAAUACGGUAUCGUGCAUUGAUUUCCAUCUUAGAAUGGCUCCCUUCCGUAUAGGUGGAAAUUUGAAAGGUUAUUUCCUUUUUUCUAAUUUAUAAGACGAAGAGGCUUAAUCGGUUCAAACAAAUAUGACGAUGAUCAUUAUGGAGCCGAUCAUGAUGACGAAUACGAUAAUGCAUAUAAUAAUAAAUAAAAUGAUUUUACUUGUAUCUUAGACUUAUACAAAUAAAAAAUUAUUUGUUUAA